rnacentral:rRNA from 1 species
UCGAGGGGUAUAGUUCUUCGGAAUUAGAGACCGGCGCACGGGUGCGUAACGCGUAUGCAAUCUACCUUUUACAGAGGGAUAGCCCAGAGAAAUUUGGAUUAAUACCUCAUAGUAUAGCAGUUUCGCAUGAAACCACUAUUAAAGUCACAACGGUAAAAGAUGAGCAUGCGUCCCAUUAGCUAGUUGGUAAGGUAACGGCUUACCAAGGCUACGAUGGGUAGGGGUCCUGAGAGGGAGAUCCCCCACACUGGUACUGAGACACGGACCAGACUCCUACGGGAGGCAGCAGUGAGGAAUAUUGGACAAUGGGCGCAAGCCUGAUCCAGCCAUGCCGCGUGCAGGAUGACGGUCCUAUGGAUUGUAAACUGCUUUUAUACAGGAAGAAACCCUGGUUCGUGAACCAGCUUGACGGUACUGUAAGAAUAAGGAUCGGCUAACUCCGUGCCAGCAGCCGCGGUAAUACGGAGGAUCCAAGCGUUAUCCGGAAUCAUUGGGUUUAAAGGGUCCGUAGGCGGUUUAAUAAGUCAGUGGUGAAAGCCCAUCGCUCAACGGUGGAACGGCCAUUGAUACUGUUAAACUUGAAUUAUUAGGAAGUAACUAGAAUAUGUAGUGUAGCGGUGAAAUGCUUAGAGAUUACAUGGAAUACCAAUUGCGAAGGCAGGUUACUACUAAUGGAUUGACGCUGAUGGACGAAAGCGUGGGUAGCGAACAGGAUUAGAUACCCUGGUAGUCCACGCCGUAAACGAUGGAUACUAGCUGUUGGGAGCAAUCUCAGUGGCUAAGCGAAAGU